GGAAUCUUCCACAAUGGGCGCAAGCCUGAUGGAGCAACGCCGCGUGAGUGAAGAAGGUCUUCGGCUCGUAAAGCUCUGUUGUUAAAGAAGAACACGUAUGAGAGUAACUGUUCAUACGUUGACGGUAUUUAACCAGAAAGUCACGGCUAACUACGUACCAG
rnacentral:rRNA from 1 species